UAAUAUGAGCUAGGUAAGUCUUUCGAAAUUACAGACAGACACUUCAAUUUUAUUUAUUAGUAAGUAGAUUUUAUUUCUCGCUAGUAUUCGAGAGAUGAAACAAAAUGACGUCAAAGUGAAAUGGACCUAAAGUUUCUUGAUUUAGAGUAAAAAAUUCAGUACCAUUGAUUUUAAUUUCGCAAUGUUUCCGCUUGGAACUUUAGCUGUAAAUAUAUGUACAAACUUGAACAUUAAAACAAUCCCCAUAAGGGCUAUUUUACUUUAACGCUAAAGUGUAUCGACUCUCAAAAUACAACGUUGGAGAGAAGCAAAGUAAAAUCUUAUACUAAGCGAGUACGCAUUCAAUAGGAACUUAUUGAGUAGUAAGUCACAAUGAAAAUGGGCAUUCAACUAUUACAAUUAGGGUAAGCAGUGCUUUUACGCCUCUAUGAUUUGAACGCCACUGCUAUACUCUAUCCGCGGACAGAAGGUACAGGAAUCUCUGUUACGUAAUCCCAUACAGAUGACAGAGACAAAAAACUCAGUGGGCGUUAACCAUUUUGAGUCACCAACCAAUCGCAAACUUGUUUUCAAAAACAUUCGAAAUUCAAUUCGAAAUUAUAGUUUCGCUUGUGAUAGAGAGGGCCAUAUACUAACUUCUUUCCGUGGAUAGUGUACCUAUAGAUAAAAAAUUCGUUUUCCGAAGCCGAGAAUAAUUUGAGGCUGAGAUCUAUAGAGAGCACUUGACUUUGCUCAGACUUAACACACUGUUAAAACGAGACAGCGUUAUACCGCUGGCAUAAAUGUGUCUCGUUUUAACGGAAACUUAAGUCUAAACAAAGUCAAAGUAGGUAUAUAUUUCAACUUUAUAGUUUCACCCUACCCUAUAGAUUUCAACCUUAGAGUUAUGUGGUUAGGACGCUAAACCAAGCAAUAGUGCGUUAAUCUCAACUAUUUCUUAUUUGUUUGUAUAGAAUUCAUAGGCAAGUGUUUAAAAGUUGGUCGGGUUUUUCAACAAUAAAGUUAACUUACCUUGACUGAUUUAAAUAUUUUUAUUAUAAACUACUUUUAAAUAUAUUUAUAUUGUUUUUCAGUAUUCACAUCAAUAAUAAUACUUUUAUUUGUAGACACUAGACACCAAUAACAUUAAAUGCUUAACUAAUGACGCUGUAUAAAAUCUAGAUUAGUCUGAACCCAAAAAAGUGGUCUGUGUACAUCGCAUAAUCUAAAAUAUGUAUAAAAGUGGUGGUGUAUAAAAGCACUCUGAUACCAUAGCAUUUUCAGCUGCAGACUCUACAAUGCAAAGUACGGUAUU